CAGAAGAGCCCCAAAAAACAAAAAUCCCAAAUUUUCAAGUCAAAAUGGAAUAUUUCCCAAGUAUUUUCUAGUUGUUCAUUUCAGCUUGGUUCAUCCUCACCUUCCAAAACCUGCACCUCCACCGUCGUCCCUUCACAGAAUCAACAGCACUGGGAACGGAGAGUCGCAAUCGCAUGCGUUGUGUUUCUCCUCUCCAAGAAGUUUUCGAACUACAUGCAAGAAUUUCUCAGCUGUAAGAUUCCGCUCAUGACUACGAAGGCAUCAUUUCUGGAUUUCGAUUUUUCCAAGGUCACUCCGGUGUCUCUGUCUUCUCCCUGCGCCUGUCCUUCCCGUCCUUCGUCUUGUAAGCCAUUGCCUCUACCUCGAUUCUCUCUCAGACUCAAUCCAUUGCAUCUUGCCUUUCAUGGUCCCAAGGGCUUACUAAGAAUUAACAAGGGGAGCGGUUCGUUGAGACGCCGCAUUGUGGCUGUGGCACAUGCCGCGCCCGACCGCCUUGAUGGGAACGAGUCUGAAGAGGAAGUUGAGGGAGGUCAAAAGUUAUCAUUUCAAGAGGAUCCAAUCUCAGAACAACAACAUAAAAAAAAUCAAUUGACGAAACGCAUUGUUUUUGGGCUUGGAAUUGGAAUAACUGUUGGCAUUGUCGUAUUGGCUGGAGGAUGGGUGUUCACUGUGGCUGUUGCUGCAUGUAUUUUUGUUGGAGCACGUGAGUAUUUUGAAUUGGUCAGGAGCCAUGGGAUCACUGCAGGAAUGACACCCCCACCUCGAUAUGUUUCACGGAUUUGCUCAGUUAUUUGUGCUCUCAUGCCCAUUCUUAGCUUGUACUUUGGUCAGCUUGAUGUGGCUAUCACAUUUUCUUCCUUCAUUCUUGCAAUAACAUUACUUCUACAAAGAGGGAGCCCCCGUUUUGCUCAGCUGAGCAGUGCAAUAUUUGGGCUUUUUUACUGUGGUUAUCUUCCUUGUUUCUGGGUCAAACUUCGUUGUGGUUUGGCAGUUCCAGCCGUAAACACAAAAAUAGGAGCAGCAUGGCCAUUUCUUCUUGGAGGUCGAGCUCAUUGGACUGUUGGCCUUGUUGCAACCCUAAUUUCUAUGAGUAGUAUAAUUGCAGCUGAUACGUAUGCUUUUCUUGGUGGCAAGGCAUUUGGUAAGACCCCACUUACAAAUAUUAGUCCAAAAAAGACGUGGGAGGGAACUAUUAUUGGCUUGGGUGGUUGUAUAGCUACGUCUGUCAUUCUAUCAAAAAUUCUUUGCUGGCCUACUUCUGUGAUUAGUGCUAUAGCUUUUGGGUUUCUGAAUUUCUUGGGUUCUGUUUUUGGUGAUCUUACUGAAUCAAUGAUAAAACGUGAUGCUGGUGUCAAGGAUUCUGGAUCUUUAAUCCCUGGACAUGGUGGAUUACUUGACAGAGUGGACAGCUACAUUUUUUCUGGGGCACUAGCAUACUCCUUCGUCAAAACAUUCCUGCCACUCUAUGGCGUUUGAGAGUGGGUCAGGAUACUUAUUCUCUAGGUUCUUUUCCCUUGUAUGGGGAAGAGAGAAGGCAAAACUUGUCUGCUCUCUAAGGCUGGAGGAGCAUGUGCAUCAGCUAAUUGAUCGUGGUUGUACCCAAAAGUACUUCAGCUGACUUAGUCCAGUAGAUCUUCAAAGUUCCAAGUGAAAGUCUUUGUUUACCAGCUGGUUGAAUAAACUUCAUGUAAUCUCUUCCCCUGUAGACUUUGAAUUCUCUACUAUCAUCAUCCUAUAAUGUAAGAACCAUGAUGAUAGUUUAGAAUCAAGUUGAGGAUUAUUUAUAGUAGAUGAUGAAGUAUCAACAACUAGGAAUGCAAAAUGAAAUUCAUAGUCAUUUGAAUGAAUACUUUCUCCAAUAAGGAUUUGGGGCCGAGAUUCUGGCACUUGCUUUUAUCUUUU